UUCUCUUUUUCUUAAGAAAUCUGGCUCUUCUAUUGUCUUGUUGGCUGUCUAUGUUGAUGACAUUAUUCUCACUGGUAAUGAUUUGGAGGAGAUCACUGCUUUGAAAGACUUUCUGGAUCAUGAGUUUAAAGUCAAGGACUUGGGGGUGCUCAACUAUUUUCUUGGAAUUGAGGUCAGUUAUCACUCUAAUGGGCUUCUUCUAAACCAGAAAAAGUUUAUCACUGACUUGCUCAAAACCUAUCACUGUGAGGAUGUUUCUUUUCUCUGUUAAACUCAAACUGGAUAUGGGGGAUCCUCUUCCCUCUCCUGAAUCCUAUAGGUUCUUAGUGGGGAAACUCAAUUUUCUCACCCACACUAAACCUGACUUGGCCUUUGCUGUACAUCAUUUGAGUCAAUAUCUCCAGAAGCCUACCUCCUCUCAUAUGCAUGCAGCUUUGCAUACUCUGAGAUAUCUUAGAGGCACUUCUGAGCUUGGCAUUUUUCUCAGCAACACACCUGACCUCUCCUUAUCUGCUUAUUGUGAUAGUGGCUGGGCUUCUUGCCCAGACACCAGGAGAUCUGUCUCUGGCUUUUGUGUUCUGUUAGGUGGUUCUCUUAUUGGUUGGAAGGCUAAGAAACAGCCUAUGGUAUCUCUGUCUUCUGCUGAGGCUGAGUAUAGAGCCAUCAACAAGGUUGUUGGUGAGCUCACCUGGCUCAUACGAUUGCUGUCUGAUUUUGGGGUUCCUGUUACCAUUCCUUACCAGUCUUUUGUGAUAAUUAGGCAGCUCGUAUGAUUUUGGAGUUCCUAUUACCACACCCGUACCAAUUUUUUGUGAUAAUCAGGCAGCACUUCAUAUUGCAAAGAAUCCUGUGUUUCAUGAGCGGACCAAACAUAUUGAGGUGGAUUGUCAUUUCAUC
rnacentral:lncRNA from 1 species